UACGUAGGGUGCGAGCGUUAAUCGGAAUUACUGGGCGUAAAGCGUGCGCAGGCGGUUCGUUAAGUCAGAUGUGAAAGCCCCGGGCUCAACCUGGGAACUGCAUUUGAAACUGGCGGGCUUGAGUAUGGCAGAGGGGGGUGGAAUUCCGCGUGUAGCAGUGAAAUGCGUAGAGAUCGGGAGGAACACCAGUGGCGAAGGCGGCCAUCUGGAUCAACACUGACGCUGAGGCACGAAAGCGUGGGGAGCAAACAGG
rnacentral:rRNA from 1 species